AUAAUACUCCCUCCGUCCUAAAAUUCUUGUCUUAGAAUUGUCUAGAUACAGAUGUACCUAAUACUAAAACAUGACUUGAUACAUUCGUAUUUAGACAAAUCUAAGACAAGAAUUUUGAGACGGAGGGAGUAGCAG
rnacentral:pre_miRNA from 1 species